rnacentral:rRNA from 1 species
CCUACGGGAGACAGCAGUGAGGAAUAUUGGUCAAUGGGCGCGAGCCUGAACCAGCCAAGUAGCGUGAAGGAUGACUGCCCUACGGGUUGUAAACUUCUUUUCUCAGGGACGAAGCAAGUGACGGUACCUGAGGAAUAAGCCACGGCUAACUACGUGCCAGCAGCCGCGGUAAUACGUAGGUGGCAAGCGUUAUCCGGAUUUACUGGGUGUAAAGGGCGUGUAGGCGGGAAAGCAAGUCAGAUGUGAAAACCAUGGGCUCAACCUGUGGCCUGCAUUUGAAACUGUUUUUCUUGAGUACUGGAGAGGCAGACGGAAUUCCUAGUGUAGCGGUGAAAUGCGUAGAUAUUAGGAGGAACACCAGUGGCGAAGGCGGUCUGCUGGACAGCAACUGACGCUGAGGCGCGAAAGCGUGGGGAGCAAACAGGAUUAGAUACCCCUGUAGUC